UGUUCAACAUACCAAAAAAAAAGGGCGAAUUGUUUGUCUUACCUUGAACUCUUAAGGGUCUAUACAAGAUUGUUGACAAUGUGGUUUGCCGCUUUCUUUCUUAGAAAACGAAGAGGGAUUUUGCGGAAACAACUCCUCCAGUGAGCAUGUGUUUUAUUGUCCUAAUACAAGGUGCGUAUUAUACGUAAUAAUAACUGCUGUUGGCUUAGUUAAUCUUCAGAGAAUAAGGAUAUACUACUAAAGUCAAAUCUUUGGUUUUUUAGUUCCAUAAGAAAAACUGUAAAGAUGUCUUUAUGUCACUAUUCUUUUCAUUUUGAAGCCUCUAGUUUAACUACUUGUGGGCGAAAUAAUCGACAACACAUAGCAAGUGUUUAUUAGAACAUUACGAUUUUAUUGAUAUUAUUGUCAUCAUUCAAUAAAAGCAUAUAUAGUAUUUGUCAAUAGAAGUACAUAAUCAUAAUCUUUUAUCAACUGCCGCCAAGAAACAAAAGUGCACUAUGCGAACAGGAAUUGUGCCUGAAAUUAAAUUAAUAAGGAUUUAAUGGAAGUUAUCCAUUAUUAUAAAUUGGCAGAAGCGAAAGCCGAUCAUAUGAAAAAUUUAAAAAUACCAGGCGAAAUGUGAUAUGUAUAAAGCCAUUAUAAAGAAAACAACCUGCUCGAGCCGAAAGGGUUUAAUCAAAAAACAGUUGCGUUUCUUUAAGCACUACACCGAAAUGGCUGGAAACUGUAGUCGAAGCUGUGCCCCCGACGCGAAAACUUAAAAAAAUGUCGAAUAAGCUGAGUUCUGAAUUAAGUAGGACUAUAAGUACCGAACAAACAAGAAUAUGAGCCAUACAUGUGAAAAGAAGAUAUUAUCCUGUAGCUAACCUAAAGAAAUUUUCUCGGAAAUCAACUAUACUUAUUUUAAAUUUUUUCAUAAUCUUUAUAUUGAAAAGAAGUACGCUGAUGUGAAAAUAUGGUAAA